rnacentral:rRNA from 1 species
GUUAAAAAGCUCGUAGUUGGAUUUUGGUUAAGAGGGCGCGGUCGGCCGUUUGGUCUGUACUGCGUUGUCUUGACUUCCUGAUGAGGACUGCUCUUGGUUAACGCUGAGACUGGAGUCAUCGUGGUUACUUUGAAAAAAUUAGAGUGUUCAAGCGGGCUUACGCUUGAAUAUAUUAGCAUGGAAUAACACUAUAGGACUCCUGUCCUAUCUCGUUGGUCUCGGGAUGGGAGUAAUGAUUAAGAGGAACAGUUGGGGGCAUUCGUAUUUCAUUGUCAGAGGUGAAAUUCUUGGAUUUAUGAAAGACGAACUUCUGC